rnacentral:tRNA from 1 species
UUAUUUAUAAAUUAAUUUAUUAUUUAUUUAAAAAAUAUAUUAUUUAAUUCAAUUUUAAUAUUUUAU